AGGAGGAGGCGGCGGCGGAAGGCGCGCUGCGUCCAGCAUCCGGACGAGCUCCACAUCCAGCGCACACCCGCGCGUCUGCUCGCUCGGCACCAUCUCGAGUGUCUAUCCACCAGACCCAGACGCACUCAAGCGCGGCAGCCCUAGCCUAGGCCCCUAGCGAUUGCAGCAACUCCGGCGGGAAGCAGUCAAGCGGAUUAGGAGAGCAGCAGCUAGCGGAGCAGGAGGGCAUCCAGGAGAGCAGCGGACAGCCGCGACCGGAUGGCAGGGCAACGGCGUGAACGUCCAGGUAUUCUUCACUUUCUUCAGUAUUCAACAGUUUGGCUCUUACUUCUGCUGUAUCAACUGAUCAACAUAGCAGUCCAACUCUAGCAGAUUAUCGGUAGCAUACUAGCAGAUUAGAACAUUUUUGUUUACCAGAGUAGUAGACUACUAGACUAGCAGAGAUAAUUUCUAGAUGCCAUUACUGCUAGAUGCAAGUUUCAAAUCAAUUAAUUUCAUGAACUUUUCCCUUGUUUUCUUGUAAUGUAGAUAAAAAGGAAGAGUGCUGCUGACAGUAGCACAUUUGCAUUGUUACCGCUAGAUGCAAAUUUAUUAUUGUAGUAUAGAUAAUUAUUAUAAAAUCAUGGUAUUGUCUCUCAUGCACAGUAGCACAUUUUUACAUUAUUAUUUCAAUCUUGCUACAAUUAACUAGAAGAAAAGCGGAAGACAUUGCACGAGAAAACCUCUUUAGUGUACCCAUCUGCUCAUAUUCUUCCAUCAGUAGCUCACUAGGGAGGUCAAAAUUAAUGGACAUCAUUAUUUGCACCAUGAAGAUGAAGACCUGAUUAGCUUACUGGGAAAUUUAUAUAUCUGAUGUUAAUAUAUAGCGUCAACGCUCUAUUUUUUUUCUUUUCUCAUCAUAAGUAACAAGAACAAGAUGUUAUAUCAAGACAUUUUGUAACUUUCGUCUUCACUACCGGUUCAAGUUUGACGUAUUGGUCAGAACAUACUUGCACAAAAUACCAAUUUUCAGGUUUGCAGUACAUGUGACCUGAAUUUUUUACGCAGAAUACAAUUAGAGGGAUUCAUACAUAGAUUUGCAGAUUAUUGCUUUGCCAUUGUGUGUCCUUGAUGUAUUUAUCACUGAUUUUUUUUCUCCCUUGAUACACAGGUUACAAAGUUAUUUCCAUGUGUUUUCUAGACAGCAUGUUCUGCAAUAGUACAUAUGUAUGGCAUCUCCACUUGUGUUGGGAAAAUAUUCAAGCAGAUUCUCACUCACUGGUUCAUGAAAGUAGAAACAGAAUGUAAACCGUAUCCACUUUUUCUUGGAUCAUUUGGGAUUGCUGAAUGGAAAACACAUUCAAGGCACAUAAUCUAUGAGAAUCACGACAAGUAAUCGUACCAAAAAGGAUUACUCGGCAAGUCUUAUCUGGCGAUCUCUAUUGAGUUGAUUUAAACUAGAACUGAGAAAGAAGUUAUAUUUGAAAAAACAAAAUGGUUAUUUCUUGCUCAAGGUUACCUAAAUAGUUGACCAGAUAUGAGUUCAUUGCAGUAAAUUGUUUUAAAAACCUACCAUUGAUGAUGCAAGUUUCAACUGGACCAUACCAUCUCAUUAUAGACAUGCUUGCACUUCGAAUGCAGGUUGGAACUAAUUAUUAUCUGAAGGACAACUGCAGUUACUCAAUGAGAUGCUGACUGGAAUCUCCAAGCAACAUAUUUCUUUUCAGUUGUUGUUCUCCUAGCUGGAAUCUCUAGAGAUUGUGACUGGAAUCUAAAAUUUCUAUAAGAUCAUUCGUCUCCUUGAAUGUUUUAUGUGUACACCGCUUACUCGGUCGUUUAAUGCCAGUUCUCUAUUCCUUCAACUUCAGGUCCUAUUUUGUAAAAGCCACGUUGUUUGCUCGGCCCAGUUUAUCCACACAAAUAAGUACCUGUGCCUCUGAAGUUCUUUCUGGUAGCAACGCUAUGACUGUAGGCUGAUCAGUCCUUCAUCUUUAUAGCUAGCUCUGAAAUGCAAAUAAGAUCAGUGGGUCUAUCCUGUGCAGUCGGGAUCAGAUGAACCAGUUCAUCCUUACACGGUGCGUACCAGUAUGUUGUACUGAAUUUUUUUUUGUGAUAACAAGGCUAUGGCUGUAGCCAACCUGUCAUUCAUCUUGGUAAUUAAAUCUGAACCGCGCGGAUAAUUGGUAGUCUGUAUUGCAGAUAUGUGUAACUAUUGUAUUUUCUGUGCAUAAAAUGUUAUCGUGCGUACUACCGGUCAUUGCGAGAUAAGUUUACCUUCUAUAUGUGGCGAUGGAAAUUGAUGGCAAAGAAGCACCAGCUGACCACCCACAGGGCACCCUUCCAUUCACGAUUGUGGUCAUCUCGAUCAGUGCAGGCUACUCCGGAAGUUUGGAUCUGUCUUGCUACUACUUUGCUUUAGUGCAUUUCUACUCGCCCGCGAUCCUCUCGGUUGCCUUUUAAGGGCCAGUUAGUUUUUAAUUGUUUUCUUAUUUUAGAAUGGAUAUCCCUUCUGAGUGGGUGCAUGCCAAAGCAAAAGUACGAGUUACUCUAUAUUAGAAUGCGGGUACUGAAAUGGUGUAUUGAGUGGAAGCAUCAGAUGCUUCUACACACGACUCCUCCAAAAAAUAUGUUUUCAAGAACCUCAGCAUAUGUGUUCUUUUGUGAUUUAUAUUAUUUAUUUAAUGUCAAAUCAAAUAUCGAAAAACAUCGGCACAUAUUUUCUUUGCUAUCAUAUUUACCGACUUGGUGGUCAACUUGACGAGAAAACUGUCCAACCACUUCCUGAUAUUGAUUACUUCAGCAUUGAGGUAAUUUCUGUGAUUAUCAGCAAUGUAACUUGUGUGCAUUGCUAGCAUGUACUACAUAACCAAGUAGGGUUCUUUGAUUCCUAGAUGAUAUCUGUUCCUACUUCCUGGCUUAAAUAUCUUUUUCAAUAGGUGCUCAGGGCCAGUCGAGAUUUCUUCUGGAGCUUACUUCUUUGUUCUCCAGAUUAUGGGCGAAAUUAUCCAAGAUGCAUCAGAAAAAACUAUUUCUUUGUUCUUGGACAGUCAUGUAUAAAGGUUGCACCCAAUUUUGUUUCUCCAGAAAAUUUACAAGAAUGCAGGCUGACAGAAGAAUUUCUUCCCCUUCCAAAAUGUCAUCGUGUGAAUAAAAAUAAGCUAGAGGUAUGUCAUCAGGUUAUCCAGAGUCUCAUGUUGUAUGUAUAUAAAUUUAUCUGCUAUUUAUCGAUAAUCGUUAUCUUGAUUAUAUAUAAGCAUUAUUGUUCUUACAUACUAUAUCAGUCUUGAUAGCUCCAUAACUGCUACAUGCUCUCUUUUCUACACACCUUUGUAAUUCUGAGAUUUUUUGUCAAUUUGUGAACUUGGAUUGCCAGAUUAAGAAGAUAGAUUUUUAUGCAAUUAGUAUUGUAGCUUCCGUGUGCACCCAGCAAUCUCCUCAUUAAGUCUGACAGUAGUGUUGCCUUAGUUGUUUAUUUGCAUUUUGUAGUUUUAGUUCCUUCCUGAUAUGGUUCUGCACACGCAGGUGCUUUACCCCUGUUAUACUGGCACCACUUAUUUCUUUUAAAUCACAUUGUCUGAGGGAUUCAAAUGUUGUAUGUGCAGAUUGUUCUCAUGAAAUGAGUGCUUAUAUGUUUACCAUUUCAUCAUGUUCAGCUUAUUAGACUAUACAUGAUUAUAUGUUUAGCAUUUCAUCAUGUUUAGCUUAGUAUACUAUAUGUCUAUACAUGAUGCUGGCAUGCUUCUGGUUUGUCCCCUGAAGCUUGGUGUCGGUCGUGAUGCUUCUGGUUUUGAAGUGUAGGUGCAACAAAGAUGAGCUUACCAUCUUUCAUAUCAGUAAUGGUUUUGUUGCUUUAGUAUCAUAUAUAGAACUGCAGUUGCUAAACUUUCACGUCGUUUUUAUAUAAGAGCUACUAAACUUGCCUCUUAUUUUUUAUGAGGUGCUGAAUUCUUUCUUGGUUGGGAUUGACACCCAGCACUAGGCAGAAAGUUUCGGUGGGACAGUAUUCUCAAUAAGGGCGGCUUCAGAUUAUCUGAACACGAAACGGCGUCGACAGAAGACUUACACUACCUUCCCGAUGCUGGAAAUGUAGCUUUGUUUCAAUUGCUUUGGGUAGAGCUUGCUACAGUUCUAGCCCUCCCUGUGCCAAGCAAAGAACUCAUCAUCAUCAUUUCGUCUGCUGAUGAAUAUAACAAUGCCAACCACUGACAGUUUGAAGACUGGGGAACACCGAGACCACCUGGCUUAGCAUGCUAAAAAUUUAUAUUCGUGCUAAUUACUUCAAGUAUAUAGUUCAGGUGGCACUGCUUAGGCAAGUCAAUCCUAUCAGGUAUGUAAAGAGAAAGAAUAUAUGUAUGGUUCUGUUUAGGCAAGUCAAUCCUAUCACCUAGGUAACGAGAAAGAAUGUAUGUAUGUUAUUGUCUCUAGCCUAUACUCCCUACGGUGGAUCUAUCUUACCAACUAUGCACUCAACUAGGAAUAUAUAUUAGUAACAAGUUCAGUUUAUCUGAGAUCAGGAUAUCACAUCGAUAAAGCUUCAUGUUACAGCAUAGGCGCGGCGUGAGCAUUUGAAAAGUUGAUAUUUCAAAAUUCUGUUAAUUUUGCACUGUCCAGAAUAUAGAUUAUCUCACACUGAUUUUUUGCACACUGAUAGAUUGAAUAAUUGUCUACAUUUAGAAUUUUUUUCAUGUUCUUUUGAUGUUUUAAAUUGUUGAUUUCGAAUUUUCAAAAAAAAAUGGCUACAUGUUGCCUGUCCUACAUUUUGCCACUCUCAUUCUUAUUAAGCAACAAAAUAAAUAAGUCAAUUCCCCUCAGCGCGGCGUGCCGCCGCGCCUUUCUUUGCUAGUAAAUAGAAUAUGAAGACUCCAGGCUAUGUGGAGAAAGAAGAAACGAAGAAAACUCACAAUGAUCACGUGUUUAAGUACUGCAUGGGUUUGAGGAAUCGAAUGUGCUAAAAGAGUCAAAGAUUAGUAAUCCUUGGUGUUUGAUGAUAUAUUACUGGAUUUGACAAAUGUGAGACAUAUUUGAUGGGUGUUGGCUUUGAAGGCACGGCGAAGGUGAAAUCCCUACAUAAAUCUGAUGAUGGCUACACCUGCGGGCGCCCUCACCUCCUUUGGAGGCAUCGUUAUGGUGCUGUAUGUUCUUCCCUGCCUUGAGCACAGGGGGAAACCCUAAUUCCGGCCUUCAGAUCAGGCGUCGGUGGCUCGGUUGUGUCGUUCCCUCCUUAGGGGCACUGCCAGGUGGUUGUUUGAGUUCUAGGUGUGCUAGUUGGAGUCGGUGCUUGCCACUCAGAGUGUGGGCUCCAGGGGCACUAAGUACACCGCCGCCGACGCUUCUUUGUCAACAUGUCGUACGGUUUUGUUUAGUCCUGCUCGCCAACCUUAUGCUCUAAUUCACAUACGUGGUACUUGUUACUUAUUCUUCUUCUUGAACUGUUCUUGCUCACCAUUGACAAGUUCAUCCGCAAAAUAAUGCACAUCACUCCGGAUUAGUUGUGGGCACA